GACGUAGGGCGCGAGCGUUGUCCGGAUUUAUUGGGCGUAAAGAGCUCGUAGGCGGUUUGUCGCGUCGUUCGUGAAAACUCACAGCUUAACUGUGAGCUUGCGGUCGAUACGGGCAGGCUAGAGUUCGGUAGGGGAGACUGGAAUUCCUGGUGUAGCGGUGGAAUGCGCAGAUAUCAGGAGGAACACCGGUGGCGAAGGCGGGUCUCUGGGCCGAUACUGACGCUGAGGCGCGAAAGCGUGGGGAGCGAACGGG
rnacentral:rRNA from 1 species